rnacentral:lncRNA from 1 species
CUUUAGGUUUUUCUUCCUUAAAAUAAGAAGGCUCUGAAACCACAAUGGUAUUUGUAGCAAGGAAGUGAUCUCAAAGGAAGGGGGUGGUAGUGGACAGCCAAGAUGAAAGAAGGUAAAACUCCCUCUAACAACCUUCCCUGGAAUGGAACUUUCCCCAGGGGCCUUUUUUUUUUUUUUAAAUGGUCUGGAUCUGAGCUCUUGUGUUGGUGGAUCUGCAGGAUCUUUCCAAACACACAUGGAUUCAGCCUCAGUGCUUCCAUUGGAAGAAGAAUCAGCAUCAUCUCCCUUUUACACAAGGUGCCAUUUUGUCCUUGUGGAACUGGAUUGACAUUCCAAGCCCUUUCCUCACCCCCGUGCAUUGCAUGGUUGCCUCCCAUAACAACUGACCUGGCCAAGAUUACCACUGGAAUCCUUCUGCAGGAGGAAAGAGAAUCUGCAUUACUAGGUUGUAUGGAGUUGGUUGUAAACACUAGCAGAGCCAGAGAAACCAGCUUGAAAUUAAACCCAGCACCGCCACUGUGAGCACUGGGCACCUUUGAAAGUGUGAGCUUCCCAGAGGUCAUCUGGGAGCCUCAGAUCCAGUGUGAACUAACUCCACUGUUCAGCUACAUCAUUCUGUCAGAAGACAAGACUACUGAGGAUGCAUUAUGGGCUCUGGCUUCUCUCCCUCAGCAGGCUGGAGCUGUAGCAUCACAUGGCUAAUUGGGUGCCAACCUGAGAGUCCACACUUCACUAGGACCAGAGCAAGACAGAGAAAGCUUUUUCCAGGUCCUGAUUAAGACCCAAACAGCAAAACAGCUCACAGCCAAGGACAAUGUGUUUCAUCAUGUGCUCUUUGUCCCAGAAAAGGUGGGUUUCCAGAUCCUGCUCCAAGUCUCCUGGUGAAGUAUCAAGAGAAGGCUCAGAGAUUCCAAACCGUGGGAGGGCGAUUUCACACUAUGCAGUAGGACAAGCUGUGACAUGGGUGACAGUCGGGAUGUGAGCAAAGAUACAGAAUUAGAGUCACUUACUGCUGCACUGACUGAAAUUCUGGGGGUGGCACAUCAUGUACCUUGUAGCUUUGGCUACAGAAAGCUAGGUCUUCAUCUGAGGCCAGCUGUUAAGACAUAGGUGUCUAGCUCAAGGCUGAUAUUCUUUGAAAGGCUCACAAUUGGAGUUCCAUGAGAUCUGGUGUAUUAGCUUCUCACAUCCUUCUUUAUAAGGCUCCAUUUAUUUCAGGGUGAAUAUUGGGAAUGCACUCAUCUGCUGAGGGUUAGCACCACCCCCUGGCCCUACAUGGGCUUUGAAGUUUUUUCCACUGGUUACUAAGUGUCCUGCUUAAUUCAAAAUGACAUGGAAGCAAAACCUUAGGCCUGGGAUGAAUGCAAGAACUCUUCUGAGGAGGGUUUGAAAAUCUCAGCCAGUGCUUCUGAGUGUCACUUAGCAUGGCCUCAAGAAUUCAGUCCCUGUCCUCCCACUACCCACUCCUCUCACCUUUCUUUUCUUUCCCCUCCCACUAUCCUUUUCAAAGCUGCAUUCUACAGGGGAGGGUCCUGGUUCCUAGGAGAAGCCUGUUCCUGAACUUGAAGGGAGGAUAAAGCCAGACCAGCUGCAUUCCAAAGCAUAUAGUGCCCUCUGAAGUGGGAAGGCCCCAGGCCAGACCUCUCCUAAAUCCUGAAGGUGCUGCAGCAGCAGUGUAGGCUGGAAGAACAAGUUGGGCAACCAUCCAGGCAGAAGUAUAAGGACAGUCUGUGUUCAAAGGAGGGAGCACAGUUGUUGCAGAGAACAGCAGGUUCCAGCCAGGUGUUUCAGCACUUACAAAGGAGGGAGGGCUGGAGGAGGAGAUGGCCAGAUGUGGCUGGCGGAAGGGGAGGGGAUUUUGCUGCAACCAACCAGCCUCACCUAAAAUUCCAUCCUGGGUGGGGAAAUGCCAACACUUUCUCUUUGGAAAGCCAGGUCAAGAGGAUCAAUGGGAAUUUGGAAGAGGCACAGCAGUGGCAAGGCGCAAGUUCACACAUGUCUUCAGAGGAUGGUUUUGACUCCACAAAUAGGCCCGUGUAAACCCAGGGCCUGAUUCUGAGCUCACUCCCAAGAUGUUAGAUAAGGCUUGCUCCAUUGAAGUCAAGUGGAAGGAUACCUACUUUACACCAGGGCAAGCGAAUCAGAUCUCUGUGAGCAGGGAGCAGACAGACCAGGAGUCUUGAGAAUUGUUUUUCCUUGACAAGUCUUGAAAGCCUAGUUUUGUUCCUCCUACUGACUUCCGCUAGCAAUGCUUACCUCACUCUCACCACAACCACAUGUACACCCUCCUUCACCGCCAGUCUUCCAUCCCAGACACGAUCACACCACACAAUCCCCCAGCCAUGCAUAACUGCACAACACAAUCACAGUCUCACAAAUAUUUACAGACAAGGUUCAGAUUUCUUUACUGACACAAUGUAAAGAAUCUAAAAAACUGCCAAUAAAACCCAAACAACACUUUCCA